UACUUAUCUCUUACCAGUAUGGUCCCUGGGACCGUCAUGUUUCCCAUCAGGUGACAAGGUGCUUGCUGUAUUUUCAUGUGUCUUCAAGGUGUCUCGGAGUUCGACAUUCUCCUGCAUCAAUCCAACCAUUUUUCGAAGCUCGGCAUUCUGAGUCAGCAGACAGAAAGUUUUGCACUUCAAAACCUCCAUGGUUUUUUUCUUACAGAUGAUUUCUUAGGCUUUCUCUACCUCUUGUCACUCCACUGGGAAAUGCUGCUGCUGCUUCCUGCGCUGGAUCCUAUAAACUGCCUCCAACUGCAACCAACUGCCCUGCGUGAGCUCACCCACUGUGCUGUGACAUACAGUAUGAGUGAUAUCGGGAUGUAGCUAUGUGACCGGCGGUCGGGAGACUGCCGGUCACAUUACCGACGGCUACAUCCCGCCACCCUCUAAAUCCCGAAGAUUGGCACGUCGACUAGCAGGGACUAUUCCUACUCAUGGGUGUCCACAAUACCCAUAGAGUGGGAAGAGAACGUGGCGAGCAGGCUUGUGCUUACCCCCCCCCCCCCUUACCCCCUGUGCCCGGGAUCCCACCGCCUGGAUCCCACAGCCGGUCUCUGAUCAUUCCUGGCCGUAGGAGGAAAUAGUCGCAGACUUACAUCAGGACAAACAUCCUUCCUGAGCCCAAGCACCAUUGUUAGCAGAGGUGAAUGUCACGUGUUCUUUGUUGCUAUUUGACCUCUUGUCCCAGUAAAAGCUCUGGCAUAGACACAUCUUCUGUAUCAAUUUCCCAUUCACAUGAGAGAACCCGGAUAGAUCCUGUAUAAGGCAACCAUGGGAGGAUUUUGACUAGGAUGAUGUAAGGAUCUUCAAGAAAUGGCAAGCGAUAUUCAGCAUCUCAAAUAAAAGAUUUCCUUAUUACCAACAGCUGGUCCAUCAUUCAAAGAACAGCAAGAUACCAAUACACCCCUCCUAACGCAACAUACCAAAAUGUUACAUUGGAAUUUAUUAGGCUUUCAGAUCUGAACCUCUUAAUGCCCUGACAGGAUUUUGACUAGGAUGAUGUAAGGAUCUUCAAGAAAUGGCAAGCGAUAUUCAGCAUCUCAAAUAAAAGAUUUCCUUAUUACCAA